rnacentral:rRNA from 1 species
AGAGUUUGAUCCUGGCUCAGAUUGAACGCUGGCGGCAUGCCUUACACAUGCAAGUCGAACGGCAGCACGGGGGCAACCCUGGUGGCGAGUGGCGAACGGGUGAGUAAUACAUCGGAACGUGUCCUGUAGUGGGGGAUAGCCCGGCGAAAGCCGGAUUAAUACCGCAUACGCUCUACGGAGGAAAGGGGGGGAUCUUAGGACCUCCCGCUACAGGGGCGGCCGAUGGCAGAUUAGCUAGUUGGUGGGGUAAAGGCCUACCAAGGCGACGAUCUGUAGCUGGUCUGAGAGGACGACCAGCCACACUGGGACUGAGACACGGCCCAGACUCCUACGGGAGGCAGCAGUGGGGAAUUUUGGACAAUGGGGGCAACCCUGAUCCAGCAAUGCCGCGUGUGUGAAGAAGGCCUUCGGGUUGUAAAGCACUUUUGUCCGGAAAGAAAACGCCGUGGUUAAUACCCGUGGCGGAUGACGGUACCGAAGAAU